UACGCAUUAGUUCAAUUGGUAGAACACAACACUUUGACUGUUGAAGUUCCAAGUUCAAGCCUUGGAUGCGUAUCCA
rnacentral:tRNA from 1 species